UACGUAGGGGGCUAGCGUUGUCCGGAUUUAUUGGGCGUAAGGAGCGUGUAGGCGGCCAGGUAGGUCUGGUGUGAAAACUCGAGGCUUAACCUCGAGAUGUCAUCGGAAACCAUCUGGCUAGAGUCCGGAAGAGGAGAGUGGAAUUCCUGGUGUAGCGGUGAAAUGCGCAGAUAUCAGGAAGAACACCAAUGGCGAAAGCAGCUCUCUGGGACGGUACUGACGCCGAGACGCGAAAGCGUGGGGAGCGAACAGG
rnacentral:rRNA from 1 species